UCCGUGCUGUCAUUGUGGAACCUGAUGUGGGGCUCCAUUCCAGAAACCACGAGAUCAUGACCUGAGCUGAAACCAAAAGUCGGACAUUCAACCAAGUGAGCCACCCAGGUGCCUCCUGGGCCCUGUCUUUCUGAAGGCAGGACCCAGAAUCACAAAGGUAACUCAUCGUAUGAAGAAGGUGGGCUUCCCAGAGAGUCCUAGAGGUGCAGAUACUGUGGGUUCUAGGUGAUGAGGCCCGUGCCCUCAGGAAUUCAGACCCACCAGCUCCCAGGAGCCAGGUGGCCCUCCCGUGGUGGCUCCCUUCCCCGGGGACACCCACACUCCCCACCAUCUUAGGGGGAAGACUGAGGAGAAGGGUCCUCGAAACUGCUUCGGAAAGAAAGAACGCUAAGGGUUUCCACACAGAGGUAUCAUUUUUAGUUUGUGGCAGAAUGACUGGAAGGAGGUGUGAGGGCCCAGGAUUUGGGGGUAAGGGGAGGCAAAGGCAGGAAGUUAUUCCACAAGCUGGGAAAGUAUGGGGGGGAUGAAAUUGGCUUCCAGAGCUGCCCCCCACGCCACCCCACAAAAGCACCAUAAUGGCAGUAGAGACUUGACUCUGGAUGGAGCCAUUCUUGACUCAGUUCACUUCCCAACAGCACUAGGUAGAGGGGCCUUGGAGGGGCUCGGGUGAAUCUGCCCGGGGGGUUCGUGACAAGCUGCAGAUGUCACAUCCCUUGCUUCAGGCUGAAGAGAGUGAGGAGCAAGAUGAGGGAGACCAGAAGAGGGGCGACUCUUUGAUUCAGGACCAGAAGGAGGAGAAGGGAAGGAGAUAGCGUGUUGGCAGUUGCCCAAAACCCGGGUCUGAAAAACCAGGACGGCGGUUUCCAGGACCAUCCAUUUUCAGCAUUUUGAGCAGGCUGGCUUUGACCCUUAGUACACGGUUCCCUGAUGCUCUUUGAGGCACGUGUCUGUCCUUUCAAAGGAUCUGCGUCUUUCUCACCGACUGCUACCCCUGCUUUGGAGCCACUGGGAUGAAACGAAGAUAAGGAAUGUGGCAACCAGCACCCGGAAUCCUAAUAAAAGAGCAAGCCAAGCUACGCUGGUGAGAAUGGGAACUAAAAAAUAACAUCCAAAAUCUAAGAAAAAGAGGCGCCUGGGUGGCUCAAGUCAGUUCAGCGUCCGGCUUCAGCUCAGGUCAUGAUCUCAUGGCUCGUCUGUUCGAGCCCCG